UGCUGCUUCCACUCAAAACUUAAUGUAUGCUGCUUGUGAAUUGUCUCUUGCUACCAAAAAGAAAAUAUUUGUGCAAAUCUGUAAGCCAUUUUACUUGUUCUUGCAGAUUGGAUUACUCUGUGCAUACGUUAUCAAAAAGUUGUACUUUGGCAGAUUGGUUUUUGAUGACGUUUGGAAGUAUACUUGCAAAUGAAGAUCAACUGUUGAAUUUUGUUUCCUGAACUGAUACUUAGUUGUAAUUGCAAAUCAAGAUUGAGUGUUGAUUUUUUGUGUGGAUUCCACGUUAGUUCAUUUUGCGAUUUGCUUUGAUGAUUUUUUUGUUAUACUUAAUGGUUUAUAUUACUAAAGUUGUUUGAUGGAUAUAUUUGAUUUAUAAUAUAAAUUGUUUACUGAA